GAGGAAUAUUGCGCAAUGGGGGAAACCCUGACGCAGCGACGCCGCGUGAGUGAGGAAGGCCUUCGGGUCGUAAAGCUCUGUCAAAGGGAAAGAAGUGCAUGGUGGCUAAUACCUGUCAUGUUUGACGGUACCCUUAAAGGAAGCACCGGCUAACUCCGUGCCAGCAGCCGCGGUAAUACGGAGGGUGCAAGCGUUGUUCGGAAUCACUGGGCGUAAAGGGCGCGUAGGCGGUUUGAUAAGUCAGAUGUGAAAGCCCACGGCUUAACUGUGGAAGUGCAUUUGAAACUGUCAGACUUGAGUAUCAGAGGGGAAAGUGGAAUUCCCGGUGUAGAGGUGAAAUUCGUAGAUAUCGGGAGGAAUACCGGUGGCGAAGGCGACUUUCUGGCUGAAUACUGACGCUGAGGCGCGAAAGCGUGGGGAGCAAAC
rnacentral:rRNA from 1 species